rnacentral:rRNA from 1 species
UACGAAGGGGGCUAGCGUUGUUCGGAUUUACUGGGCGUAAAGCGCACGUAGGCGGCGUGUCGCGUCGGGAGUGAAAGCCCGUUGCUUAACGGCGGGUUGGCUUUCGGUACGGGCAUGCUGGAGUGCGGCAGGGGAGACUGGAAUUCCUGGUGUAGCGGUGGAAUGCGCAGAUAUCAGGAGGAACACCGGUGGCGAAGGCGGGUCUCUGGGCCGUUACUGACGCUGAGGAGCGAAAGCGUGGGGAGCGAACAGG